CUAAUUGACUUAUUGUGACCAAAAAUAGUUUGAUAUUUAAAUACUUGAGUAGUUUUUUCCAAUAUUUUUUAAUGCUUGAUGUAGAAUUGCAUUCUUUAACAGCAUAAGUUUUAAAUUAUGGAUAAGGUUUGGAUUGACAAAAGUUUCUAUAAUAAUGCAGAGAAGCUGUAUCAUGAAUCUAUCUGUAAAUUAGAGAGUGACAUUCGCAAUGUAUACUAAUGGGUACCCUCGUUUAAAAAAGUUAAAACCGGACGUAGAAAAACAAAAAUUCUAUAUCUGGUAUAUUGGAAAUGCUACUCUUUAAAGUGCCAUAGAUUUGCAAUUUGGGAGAUCUCGUGACAACCAAGUUUCGAAUGUGGAUAUAUUUGGCAAACUUCUAGGUCGAACAAUUGCAGCAUAUUAGCUUCCGAGAUUGCGAAAGCUAGAGAACACAUUCAAAGCUCAUUGGAAAAGAUUGACGAUAUUACAGUUGAAUCUUCUUCAAGUUUGGAUAUUUUAGGAAGAGUUGCAGCAUUGGAGGCUGAAAAUAAGGAAAUAAGAAAUAUUGUUUCAAAUUUUACUCAAUUAUAUAAUGAUAUUUUGAGGCGCAUUUCCAUAAUCGAAAAUGACAAAAUUUCUAAGAUUACAAAUCCUGAACAAUUAUAACAGAAAAAUUUGGCAAAUAAAAACAACAAUGUGUCAAACCUGCUUUAGAUGUGUGUUAAACCAUGCGUUUUUGAGAACAAAAAAAAUUUGAUUUUAGCCCACUGAUAACAAAUUGAACAAAUUGUAACCUAAAUAAAAAUCUUAAUAGCAUUUUUACGUAUUGUCGGCUAUGCUAUGUUAUUUUCAAUAAUUAUAAUAAUGAAUCAGUUAAAAUUGAGGGAAGUUAAUGUAAAUCUCAGAGUUUCGAUUGUGACAAUGAUGCCGGAGCGCUUAGUAAAGAAAGAUAAAUGCUUUCCUUAUCAGAGAACAUCGGCCUCCAAUAAAGAUUAAUAUGAUCCGCUCAUUUUUUCCCUCUAUCCGCUAUUCAAUGCAAUGACAAAUCUGGGUAUUAUCCAACAAGAGAACAUAAUAAUGUACGCAAAGGAUAUGAGUUCAUUAAUCAUUCAGCACAUGCUACAUCACAACUUACAUUACAUUAUCAAUUUUGCAGUCUUAAUAAAAUA